rnacentral:rRNA from 1 species
UACGGAGGGUGCAAGCGUUAUCCGGAUUUACUGGGUUUAAAGGGUGCGCAGGCGGAUAUGUAAGUCAGUGGUGAAAUCUCUAGGCUUAACUUGGAAAUUGCCGUUGAUACUAUAUAUCUUGAAUGUUGUGGAGGUAAGCAGAAUAUGUCAUGUAGCGGUGAAAUGCUUAGAUAUGACAUAGAAUACCUAUUGCGAAGGCAGCUUACUACGCAGAUAUUGACGCUCAUGCACGAAAGCGUGGGGAGCAAACAGG